CACCCAAACAGCAAUGUAGAAAGCUCUCUUGAUAUGACAGCUGCAGGAAAACUCUGUCAUGCUCACCCCACUUUUCUAUUUACUUAUCAGAGAAAAUUCCCUCCUAACUGGUUUUCCUUUUGUUCCUAUCUGCUUUUCUUUUGUGGAAGAGCUGGUUUUCCUGCAGAAAGUCUACAACUUUUACAGCAGUUCUGAUACCAGGUCUUUGGGUUAGAGGUCUUUUAUUCUUCAAGUUCAUUUCUCCUAAAGAUUACAGACAGCUCUCAGUAUUGAAACUUAAGGUGUGGAAGUUCCUAGUGCAGAGACUGUGAAGAGAAAGGGAAGUUUGUAAUAAAAUAAGGGAACUGGCAUGAUGUGAUACUGCAGGGAUUACAGACAGUGGCAGCAUGCUUCCUUCAUGGAACAGGAUGCUAGAAAUGAAAAGAUUCAAAACUUUUACUUUUUGUAUUACUGCUUGUUUGUUUUGCUGGAGGGAACUUAGUUAAGCUGGUGGGAAUUGUUCUGUGUAACAACCGGCAGCCCUACUCUUGCUGCUGUCUCCUCCAAGAGAAGAAUAGUCAUUACUUUUGUGAUCUUCACCAAGAAUAUACUAUACUCCAUCUGCUAGUUCUGCAGCUGUGGUUAACUAAUAAACAGUAUUCCCAGUCCUGUGCUAACUGCAUUUGUUGUGGCUAGUAGGCAAACAAAGAUAUCUUGACAGAAUACGGUGUUACACAGGCUGUUAAAAAGCAGCCCUAUCAAGUUUAGAUCCAACAGAACCAAAGGGGAAAGUUUUGCCUUUGCCAUAUGGAAAAACAAACAAGCCAAAAACACUUUACUCACAAUUUUCGGAAACUGUAAAGCAGGUAGUGUGCAGUAAUGAUAAGAAUGUGCCGGAGGCCAUGAAGGAUUGAUAUCUACUUCAGAAAUACUCAGAAGCAAUGGCUUUCUUUCCCCUCCCCAUGUCCAGUGACAAGAGGAAAUUCCCUCCUGAAAUGCUUCAGCAAAUUUCUCAGCCUUCUCCAGAGCCUUAAUCUUGGAUCUCUCUCUGCUCAAGAUGGAAAGAGGGCUAUCUGUGAUCCAAACAGAACAGGGCUGCCUCUGCCCUGCCAGCCUUAUGUUCACAGCCUCAGCGGAGCUCCCAGCAUGCUGAAACUGGUGUCCAAGAGCCUUGCUGAGAGGACACACUGAAAACAAGACUUCAAAGGACCAGCUACUUGCAGAAGGCCCUGACAAACGUGGAUGUGAAGAAGCUGUACUGGGCAUGCUGGAUGUUGGGUGCAGCAGGUAUGCUGUAAAGCGGAGAUGGCGAAGGAAUGCUGUAGGAGGAUCAGACUUCUUGAAGGGGGAUUUGGAAGAGCAUCUGCAAGGAGUGCAUUUCCCAAGCUUCUGAAGGGACACAACUCUAGCAGUGCCAACCAGGACGAUUGCUCUGCCUGGGCUGCUGCCACCAACACAACUUCUCCCCUGGUGCCCAUGGGAACCGCUCUUGGAGGUUUUGGGGUACAACUCAGACCUCCUAUCUCAUGGGCAGCUCAGCUGUUUUCCCAUGGAGCAGGAAAAGGAGGUGGUGGAUUAAUUGCUGCUGUACUGUACCUGGACCAGCACAGCCCUGCAAAGCACAGAAGCUACAGUAUCACCUUUCUUUGAUUAAAGAAGAUGUGACGAAGAUUCCUUCAAACCGACCUACCAUAGUCCAUUCAAGAGAGUUUUGCAUAUCCCAUUGGGAGUGUUUGUCAUUGUACAGCUAACAGCGCGUGCUGAGGGAUGUGGGAAUUCAGAGGAAGGGUGGCUUUGUUCUGUCUCUCUGUGUCCGGUGCUGGUUUAAUCCUCCUCCCACUUACCUCACCACUAAGAUCCCCUUUUGUAGAGCAACAACCCUUAAGUGUUAACCACUCAUCUCAGCCCUUCCAGAUGAAGCCUGUGUGUCAUGAAGCUGGAGACAUUCAGAUGCCCAUUUGGAUAGAUCUUCAGCCUGGUCCACACCCCCUCUCCAGCAACACAAGUUCUGCGUGUCCUGACGCC
ensembl:lncRNA